rnacentral:rRNA from 1 species
UAAUCUGCGAUAAGCGUCGGUAAGGUGAUAUGAACCGUUAUAACCGGCGAUUUCCGAAUGGGGAAACCCAGUGUGAUUCGUCACACUAUCAUUAACUGAAUCCAUAGGUUAAUGAGGCGAACCGGGGGAACUGAAACAUCUAAGUACCCCGAGGAAAAGAAAUCAACCGAGAUUCCCCCAGUAGCGGCGAGCGAACGGGGAGCAGCCCAGAGCCUGAAUCAGUGUGUGUGUUAGUGGAAGCGUCUGGAAAGGCGCGCGAUACAGGGUGACAGCCCCGUACACAAAAAUGCACAUGCUGUGAGCUCGAUGAGUAGGGCGGGACACGUGGUAUCCUGUCUGAAUAUGGGGGGACCAUCCUCCAAGGCUAAAUACUCCUGACUGACCGAUAGUGAACCAGUACCGUGAGGGAAAGGCGAAAAGAACCCCGGCGAGGGGAGUGAAAAAGAACCUGAAACCGUGUACGUACAAGCAGUGGGAGCCUCUUUAUGGGGUGACUGCGUACCUUUUGUAUAAUGGGUCAGCGACUUAUAUUCUGUAGCAAGGUUAACCGAAUAGGGGAGCCGAAGGGAAACCGAGUCUUAACUGGGCGUUAAGUUGCAGGGUAUAGACCCGAAACCCGGUGAUCUAGCCAUGGGCAGGUUGAAGGUUGGGUAACACUAACUGGAGGACCGAACCGACUAAUGUUGAAAAAUUAGCGGAUGACUUGUGGCUGGGGGUGAAAGGCCAAUCAAACCGGGAGAUAGCUGGUUCUCCCCGAAAGCUAUUUAGGUAGCGCCUCGUGAAUUCAUCUCCGGGGGUAGAGCACUGUUUCGGCAAGGGGGUCAUCCCGACUUACCAACCCGAUGCAAACUGCGAAUACCGGAGAAUGUUAUCACGGGAGACACACGGCGGGUGCUAACGUCCGUCGUGAAGAGGGAAACAACCCAGACCGCCAGCUAAGGUCCCAAAGUCAUGGUUAAGUGGGAAACGAUGUGGGAAGGCCCAGACAGCCAGGAUGUUGGCUUAGAAGCAGCCAUCAUUUAAAGAAAGCGUAAUAGCUCACUGGUCGAGUCGGCCUGCGCGGAAGAUGUAACGGGGCUAAACCAUGCACCGAAGCUGCGGCAGCGACGCUUAUGCGUUGUUGGGUAGGGGAGCGUUCUGUAAGCCUGUGAAGGUGUACUGUGAGGUAUGCUGGAGGUAUCAGAAGUGCGAAUGCUGACAUAAGUAACGAUAAAGCGGGUGAAAAGCCCGCUCGCCGGAAGACCAAGGGUUCCUGUCCAACGUUAAUCGGGGCAGGGUGAGUCGACCCCUAAGGCGAGGCCGAAAGGCGUAGUCGAUGGGAAACAGGUUAAUAUUCCUGUACUUGGUGUUACUGCGAAGGGGGGACGGAGAAGGCUAUGUUGGCCGGGCGACGGUUGUCCCGGUUUAAGCGUGUAGGCUGGUUUUCCAGGCAAAUCCGGAAAAUCAAGGCUGAGGCGUGAUGACGAGGCACUACGGUGCUGAAGCAACAAAUGCCCUGCUUCCAGGAAAAGCCUCUAAGCAUCAGGUAACAUCAAAUCGUACCCCAAACCGACACAGGUGGUCAGGUAGAGAAUACCAAGGCGCUUGAGAGAACUCGGGUGAAGGAACUAGGCAAAAUGGUGCCGUAACUUCGGGAGAAGGCACGCUGAUAUGUAGGUGAAGUCCCUCGCGGAUGGAGCUGAAAUCAGUCGAAGAUACCAGCUGGCUGCAACUGUUUAUUAAAAACACAGCACUGUGCAAACACGAAAGUGGACGUAUACGGUGUGACGCCUGCCCGGUGCCGGAAGGUUAAUUGAUGGGGUUAGCGCAAGCGAAGCUCUUGAUCGAAGCCCCGGUAAACGGCGGCCGUAACUAUAACGGUCCUAAGGUAGCGAAAUUCCUUGUCGGGUAAGUUCCGACCUGCACGAAUGGCGUAAUGAUGGCCAGGCUGUCUCCACCCGAGACUCAGUGAAAUUGAACUCGCUGUGAAGAUGCAGUGUACCCGCGGCAAGACGGAAAGACCCCGUGAACCUUUACUAUAGCUUGACACUGAACAUUGAGCCUUGAUGUGUAGGAUAGGUGGGAGGCUUUGAAGUGUGGACGCCAGUCUGCAUGGAGCCGACCUUGAAAUACCACCCUUUAAUGUUUGAUGUUCUAACGUGGACCCGUAAUCCGGGUUGCGGACAGUGUCUGGUGGGUAGUUUGACUGGGGCGGUCUCCUCCUAAAGAGUAACGGAGGAGCACGAAGGUUGGCUAAUCCUGGUCGGACAUCAGGAGGUUAGUGCAAUGGCAUAAGCCAGCUUGACUGCGAGCGUGACGGCGCGAGCAGGUGCGAAAGCAGGUCAUAGUGAUCCGGUGGUUCUGAAUGGAAGGGCCAUCGCUCAACGGAUAAAAGGUACUCUGGGGAUAACAGGCUGAUACCGCCCAAGAGUUCAUAUCGACGGCGGUGUUUGGCACCUCGAUGUCGGCUCAUCACAUCCUGGGGCUGAAGUAGGUCCCAAGGGUAUGGCUGUUCGCCAUUUAAAGUGGUACGCGAGCUGGGUUUAGAACGUCGUGAGACAGUUCGGUCCCUAUCUGCCGUGGGCGCUGGAGAACUGAGGGGGGCUGCUCCUAGUACGAGAGGACCGGAGUGGACGCAUCACUGGUGUUCGGGUUGUCAUGCCAAUGGCACUGCCCGGUAGCUAAAUGCGGAAGAGAUAAGUGCUGAAAGCAUCUAAGCACGAAACUUGCCCCGAGAUGAGUUCUCCCUGACUCCUUGAGAGUCCUGAAGGAACGUUGAAGACGACGACGUUGAUAGGCCGGGUGUGUAAGCGCAGCGAUGCGUUGAGCUAACCGGUACUAAUGAACCGUGAGGCUUAACCUU